rnacentral:rRNA from 1 species
GACGAACGCUGGCGGCGUGCUUAACACAUGCAAGUCGAACGGAAAGGCCCUGCUUUUGUGGGGUGCUCGAGUGGCGAACGGGUGAGUAACACGUGAGUAACCUGCCCUUGACUUUGGGAUAACUUCAGGAAACUGGGGCUAAUACCGGAUAGGAGCUCCUGCUGCAUGGUGGGGGUUGGAAAGUUUCGGCGGUUGGGGAUGGACUCGCGGCUUAUCAGCUUGUUGGUGGGGUAGUGGCUCACCAAGGCUUUGACGGGUAGCCGGCCUGAGAGGGUGACCGGCCACAUUGGGACUGAGAGACGGCCCAGACUCCUACGGGAGGCAGCAGUGGGGAAUAUUGCACAAUGGGCGGAAGCCUGAUGCAGCAACGCCGCGUGCGGGAUGACGGCCUUCGGGUUGUAAACCGCUUUCGCCUGUGACGAAGCGUGAGUGACGGUAAUGGGUAAAGAAGCACCGGCUAACUACGUG